CCCCGGGGCUGGGCGGGCUUCGAGGCCGUUACGUGGCUGCUGUUGCCACAGCGUUAAGCUUAAACGUAAUCCCGCUGGUUUUUCUUAUGCUUAGAGUAAAAGCUUUUCUUUUACUGAGAUGUAAUAGUUUUGCCGAUGCUCUUAAAAAUGGCUUUACAAGUUUACAGAGAUUAGAAAUACAUUUUUCUGGCGUCAAAAAUGGGGCUGUCGUUUAAUUUAAAAAGAAGAUGCAAACGAGCUGUUAAACCCGGUUAGCAAGCGCUUACAGCUUCUAGACCAGGGUGUCAAAGUUACAGCCGUGAGCUAGACACCUGCCAGGAGAAUUCACAUGGUCCGAGGUCCACUGCCCACCCACAGCAGUCUUUCAGGAGUUUCGUCUUUGAUUAGCUUGCUGUUACCUGGCAUCAGAACUGAUCAAGGAGUACUUCCCUGGGCACUCCAGAUCUUUUGGGCCACAUGAGGGAAAAUAAAGACAAGCAAGGACUCUUUAAGAGCAGACUGAUUUCAUUCCAGGAGGCAGGACCAGAAGAAGGUGAGCAAGGUCUGGCCGUGACCCUCAGCAACAAAUAUCAACUGAUUUCUCUGCAAAGGAUCACAGGGUUUGGCCUCAGUGGAAGGGCGUGAGCUUUGUGGAUGCCCAGGACUGUACAGGUUGACUGUGAUAUUCUUCUCUCUGUUUGCAACGUGGAUAUAUCUGCUUCAGUAUACACCAUUCUUUAAAAGUUAUCAACCUUGGAAAUAAUGUCUGCCAUCCCCUGGUUCUCCAUAUAAUUGUCCGUGUGCUAGAAGAAGAGAUUUUAAGGAUAGACAACAAAAAAUAAUUUCUCUAUUUUUCUCAUCCUUCUCCUAAUUCGGGGCCAUAUUAUUAGCAAUUCAGUAUGGUGCAUAAGCAAUAAAUAUUAUUCCAUGCCUCAGAUCUGAACAGCUGGUUCUCCAGAUUUUGUGCAGAACUGUUUUACAACCUGUUUGCUUGGCAUGCAGCACUUCCCUACUAAAUUAUUCACUUUAUUCUGUGGCCAAGAGAGUGGAUGCUUGUGACAUGUCAAAUGAAAUUCAAUCACUAUGUCUGAUAUAAGCAAACUCUCAAGACUUGUCUCUACCAGGAAUGGAGCUUUUGAUAAUGUGACCAUCUUCUGUCAGACUAUCAUUAGCACUCCCAAGGGAGACCUUGAUAAAGCGAAGGCAAGAUCCUCAUCCUUAAAUGGCAUUGUACUCUCUAUCUCUAGGGCACUUUAGAUCAGUUUGGGGUGAGGAUGAAUGGGGCACUGUCUGUACAUAAGAAUCAGAAAAGCAAAAGCUAGUUUGCUCCUGGGAAUCCACACCAGAAACCACUGGAGUGAAAAGGAUCUCUUGAGUAAUCCUGGUGGGAUUUGGGGCUUGCAUGGAUCCCCUUCAAGAGAUAGUGGACAAAAGGACAUAACAUAUUUGUGGAGAGGAACAUCAUCUUCUCUAGUAAAAUAUGUCUUGAUUGGGGCCAGUCUCAUAGGUUUUGAGGUCUGACUUUGGAUUUUUGAAUCUUUAGGCUGCUGACACUAGCCGCUAACCGUGUCAGUUGCCUCAGUGUGGGAGGCACUUAUUUUUCAGUCUUACAGUCAGAGUGUAAGGAGUGGGGUGGGGUGUAAAGGACGGGGUAGUCGUAUUGCCCCUGUCACAGGAAGGGAAGAUUGCAUGCUCAAAAAAUUCCAAAGUGGCAUUGUAAAAUUCAAACCCCAAGAUUCCAGUUUUCCUGCAAAAUUGUAAAUGUAGCGUGGGAACUGUGUAUGUAACAUUUGUUCUACCACACAGCAAAAAUCCAUAGGACAAAGGAGAUUUGAUAUAUUUUUUCUUCCACAGGUGGGAAAAAAGUAGUCUAUUUUAGUCCCUCCUCUUCCUCAAAGAAAAGCUUGAACUAUCUUAAGUAGAAAAAAUGCAGAAAAAUUGCUUGUUGUCACAGACAGACUAGAAAUAGUACUACUGAUGAAUAGGUACUUUUAAAGCACAUCAAAACUGGCUGUAUCAGGUGCUUCAAAGAAAAAAAAUCUGCUCUAAUUACAGAAAGACUGUAGCAGAGUUUUCAAAAAAAGAAACACUUUCACUCUUGUAAAAGAGUUUUACUCUUUCACAAGCUGUAUUAGCCAGUCAAAGAAGAAAGAGAAGACAUGAUAAAUAAACCACACAUAGAUUUGUGUGGAUCAGACGUUGGAUUUUACUAAGAAAUGAUUUUCCAGAAAGACUUUGGUGUUUUGACUCUAGAAAAAUGUCCAGAGAAGGCAGCUCCAAACCAUCUCAAAAUUCAGAGCAACUUCUUACAGAGGAUAAAGUGGCAUUUCCCAGAGCAUUGAAUAGUGAAGCUUGGCCAAGACAAAACAUGAGGCAUGUCUGGACUGCUAAAGGUAUUAGCGUGUUAUAUUAGCAAUAGGUAUUUGGGUUAUUAGAUGAGUCUUGUUCUCCUGAAGAGAGAGUUCAGUUUUGGGCCUGUUGUAGCAGGUACAAGAGCCUGUUGACCGUGCAUUGGUGUUGCUCUUCGGCCUGUUUCUGGUACAUCACAUGAUAGCUCUAGUUCCCUGCACUGGUUGUCAUUUGUCACAGCCUAGUCUCCUAGGAUUUGCUUUCACUCUUUCACAUUCCUGUCCUUGUGCCUGUGUAUCGUCAAUCUGACCUUGAGUCGCUAUGUGCAAUUCCACGUUGCAUUGCUGUGUAUAUACUGGCUGAAGAGCUCAUGUGUUGCUAGACAGGUCUGAGCAGAGCUUGAAGAAAGAACCGGUCAUCCCUAUAAACCUCAGAUUUCUCUUGCCAUCCUUUGGUCAGAGAAUCGUGAAGUUUCUUGGGGUUCAGCCAAGUUUCCUGAGGUUAACAAAUUCACCUCAACUUCACCUAAAUUGCAUUCAGCUGUAUAUUAUGCCUGAUACAUGGUUAGGUGAUAUCGCAUGUUGGCAUAAUGCCUGUAGAUUGUCACUUUUUUGGGCCCCUUUCCUUUUUCUACAUUAGGAAUGAAAAAUUUUCACCAUAUUCCUGAGCCUGAAUGUGACACUCUCUAUACUAGAUCAGAUGAUGGAGGAUGGGUGGCAGGAAAGACUGCAGCUAGUAGGUUUGUUUCUUUUAAAAGAGCUCAAUUGAGAACAAGAGCCAGACUGAAAGUAUGCACCCCUUGUGGUCAUGCAAGAGUCAGGCAGAACCCUGGGUACCUGCUCAUCCAUCAUUUCAUGAUUUUUGAAUAUCCUUUUCAAAUGUCGCUACGAGAACCGUCUUCCAAUCUCAGUCUCAGCUGUGCUAUAAAAUAACUUUCUUACUCCUACUUAUUAGCCAUGCAUACAUACAUCUAAAGAUCCUGUUAGCCUUUUAUACUACCGCACCUCAUCAAUUUUUUAUUUUCAUUUUAAAUUAUAACAAUGCUAUUCUGUCUUUUUUCAUUAUAAUGCAACAGGGCUGGCUGAGGCAAACUUAACAGCAAAUCUUUCCUAAUAUUGCACUUAUGUUUCUGCUAGGAUAAAUAAGACUCACAGAAGUCAGCACAGGACAGCAAUUAACACGUGGCUGUGAAGCAGAGUGUCCACUGAUCCAAAUUCCUUCUCUGUUUCUGUUUCAAGGAAGCAUUCCUUAUGGGAAGCUGUGUUUUCUGCCAUUCAGUCCAUCAUUAUACCCAUGACACAGUGCCAUGAAUAUGCUGUAAGGCUAUUUCCUUGUCUGGUAUGAUGAAGAGCAAGUUUUAACACCUCCUUGAUCUAUUUUCCCUUUAUAUCGCUAAUAUGACUGGCUAAUAUUGAUGAGAACUAGUUCUUUCUUUAUGCUGUUAUAAAGUAUACAAGGAUGUUUGGAGCAUGUGAUAGAUGAGAGCUAUGCUUUUCUGCAUAUGGGAGAACAUAUCUGUUCUUGAGUCUCAAAGCACUGCCUAUUUUUAGACAGGAUUGAUAGUACAUAAUUAUUUUUAGUCUUUGACUGAAACAGUUCUUAGAUGCAAUGCAUAUUUCUGUUUGAUGUUCAGUAGCAAGUACUUAUUUAUACAGGAGAAUGCAUAACAGUAUACAAUAUCAAACUAUGAACGUGUACACAGGGCUGCUGUUAGAAUCUCGUGUUUGUAUACAACAAAUAUAUCUUGUCCAGCUCUGCACAAAAAUGUGAAGCCUAUGCCAAGCAGGUUUAUUGAAAGGGUCACAUGGUCAUAGCCCAUUUGGAUGAAACGACCAGCAAGUUUAAGAAGAAACAGAAUUAAACUUUAACAGCACUCUACUUGCGUGGCAGUGAAAUCCAACUCUUAUAAUUCCAGUUACAUUAUCUUAGAAACAUACUUCUACUCUGUUUUAAGCUAGAGAAGGAAUUUAUCUGAAGCAUCACCUGUAAGGGACGUCAAGAAGUCAUCUCUCCUUUGCCUGCUCUAAAGCAACAAGGUCUGAACAACUCCAAGUGAUGUAUUGUUUUAAAAAUUGUAUAUGCAUGCCUGAUUGUCAAGGGAACAGUUAAGGUUAAGCACUAUUAAGUUUCCUACUUUCAGAUGUCAGAGUACAUAACUUGAGCAGGUCAGUAACACAUAGUAUAUGAUUUGGAGUAAGAGAAAGAUGGAACUGGAAAAAGGAAUCACAUCUGAAAGUAAAUUAGAGCUGAAAAAUGAUCCGAGAAACAAUGUGAUAAAUACUUAUGAAUCAAUACUUCUCAACACAUUGUUUUUGCACAUUAUGAUUUCUUAUUUCAGCCAGCCAUAAUGUAAACUCCAUCUAAAGCUAGCAGUUAUUUUCUUGCACUUUCAGUGAACAAAGACUGUUGAAAUUAAACUGGUGCAGAAUUAACAAUGCAUGCUGACUGUUCUGGUUAUCACUUCUGUUCUGAUCUGCAUUAGUACUGUCUAGGGAACACAAACAGUAGUAGAUGCAGAGCACCUGUAAUUAUUACUGCAAAUUACUAAAUUGAGCCUGCCAGAAACGAAAAUGGAGAGCUUGCUUGUUAAUUUAUUUCCUCAAAUGCUUUUGUUACUUGUGCAUAUGGCAUGACAAUAGGCCAGAUAAAGGAAAGACAGGCACAGAAGAGAUUCACUUAGUGCAGUGAAUGAUAGAUGAUGUACUGUUAACAAUUUGGGCAUUGCUAUUCUACAUGUACUGGAUCUGAGGAAUACCACAAUUAUUAGGUGCCAACGUCUCAAUAAAAAUUGUUAAAAUGUUCUAAAAAUAUUGAAAAAUGAUGGCAAUUAAAAAAGACUUAUUUCUUUAUUACAAUUUGCAAGUGAGGGAACUUGUGGAGGAUUCUUGUCCGAGUUGGUUCAUCCUGGAAUAGAAUAGUUCCCUUUACUUGCCACUGGCUUGCAGAUUGCUAGUUUGAAAGCAGCGUCUGCAGGAUGUACCUGUCCCUCUGUGAGAAGCAAACUUCCACUCCUUUGGGCCUUAGUCAGCACAGCUAAAUGAAAGGGAACAAAAGCUUCACAGAGCAAGAGAAGAGUGUCAUCUAAUUGUGCUUCUGAGCUGCAGUUCAGUUUCUGUUCUGCUUCCAAAGUUACAUAUCUAUGGACUGCUCUUCUGCAGGACAGUUUACAAGGUAAUUAUGUUAAUCAGCUAUAAAAUCCAGUGACUGAUAAAAUCCCCCUUUUUCCCCUUUACUUUUAUGAAUGGGUAUUUUUAAAUACAUACAUUUUCAAACUGGAUCCAGCCUAAACCAAAACUCUGGAGUGUUUUCAUCUGGUAUCUGGAUUUGGACAAGUUCAUUAUUAUAUGUAUCUGAAUUUAGGUAUUUGUAUGACAAACAUUAGACUCAAGCACUCUAGAACUUUGAGUGAAUUUGGAUCCUAUUUUAUUUGUUUGUUUGUGAUCAUGCUUUUCCUAAACAAAACUUUUAUCUCCCUUCCAGGACAUUUCAGCUGAGCCAGUGCAGAGGCAAGAUUAGCAGUCAUGAUCAGCAUCUACCUGAUCUUGCCUGUGCCAGGUUGUAUCCUCUGGUCAGCUUUAAACUCAGCUAGAAAUGAGACUCCCUGCAGCACAGAGGCGAGAGUUCGCCUCGCCUCCCAGAAUGAUCAUGCCAAUGUGCCUCUGCCUUGCAUCAGCUGAGAAGUGAAUCUCUUUGUGAAGGAUGUGGACUUUAUACCCCUAAUUUUUAGUGUACUUUUCCCUCUUGAAGCAUCAAUGAUAGCUAAUAGAAAUCGCACAGAGCCCCUUUAAAAAUCCCACAUCUCUGAAAUGAGUAAGAAAUAAAGUACAGCAGGAAUCACACUAGGUAGGUGAUGUUCCAACAGAGCUGAGUCCUUGGAGAAUUAGUCUGGUGAUUAUAGAAUGACUGUAGCCGAGUGUCUUUUUAAAGCAGGUAAUUUGAAAUUAACCCUCUUUUCCUUAUCUAGUUAAUACAGUCCAUUGUUCCGAGUAUAUGGCUCAGGUUGCUAUCUGAUACUUAAAAUGUAGCAUUUCCCAGAGUGUCUCCUGAUCAGUUUAAUGUAAUUCGAGACCCUUUCAUUCUUGAAUGCUACAAUUGCAAUGAGAUUAGGAGGCAGAGUGGUUAAAAUGAGUUUCCAUUGCUAAAAAAUGAUAUCGGUAGAUAAUUCAGGAGAACGUCUCAAAAGAUAAAAAAAUUAGAAGGCUGGGAGGCUGAAGGUAGUCCAUAUUGAGAGACUGUUUGCUGGCCAAAGCAAUCAUGGACUUCAGCUUCUUCAAGCUGCAGUCUCUUUCCUUUCUGAUGAUGUGCCGGAUGUAACAUGAAAGGGUCCCAGGUCAAGUGUUGCUUGAUUAAAAUGGGUUAUAGAAAAGAAGUAGAGUCAGAGCUUGCCUUAUUCUACUCUGUGAGACUCACCCUGCCUGCCAGGUGAACAGGCAGCAGAGCUAUUAUCAUUCAAAGAGCAAUAAGAUGUGUGAUUUAGGUUUUUCAGGUCUCUGCCUUUUAUUCUCUAAUAAUAGAAAUCAUUAGGAAUCCACUGAAAUAUUCCAUUUAUCACAGUAAAUUUAGAUGACUGGUGACAUUAAGUGCUGUUAUGGGUCUGGAUCAUGAUUACUGCCAAGCAGAGUCCUGUUCUGGCUGAGUGAAUAGGCAUUAACUCCAACAGCUAGAUCAUUUUCCGUCAGGGCUUUUGCAUAAGGCCCAGUUUUUCUAGCAAUAGGGUGGGUAGGCAAGUGACCAGGAGAAGUCUGCCUCACGUCUGGGAGUGAAUUCAGGAUCAAUCUUCAUGCUUUUGCUUGGGUGACUCAAAAGUCUGAUCUGUUACUUUCAGAGCAGAUGCUGAUACCCUUACUAAAUUCCAGUUUACUCUGCUAAUAACCCAGUUGAAAUCAGUGAAACAAGUUAAAAAGCACAACUAAAUAGGAGUAUAGCAGUGUUUUACUGUUUGUGUUCAUGGUCUGAUCCUACAGAAAUCAUCAAAUUUUCUCCCCAUUGUGUGCCAGUUUUUACUCUAGGCUGUAAUUGUUUUAAUGGCUUCCAGACAUUCUUUCGGGCUGUUUCAGCUCACAGCUUUAAUUGUUCGUCUGUCUGAGCUUUAAUUUUCUUCUCAAUACAAGGAAACUACACUCCCAACUAACAACAUCCAGAAUUAUCACUUAACGGUAAGUGUAUUUCUCUUCUGUCACACAGUUUAGGUCCAAUCUGCCGUAGCAGUCUUCCCCUGGAAUUUGAGCAAAUAUCAGUCUUUGACUCCCAUCCUCUCCAGACAGGUUUUCAGCUUGACAGCCAAGAAUCAGGUAGCUUUCAACGUAAGUUCACUGUCUCGAGUUCCAAACACUGGCUGUACAAAUUGCAUGUUCAUUAUGUAGAAUAAAACAAUUUAUAUCCACUGUCAGUAGAUACAGUGCUUCAGUGCACACUGUUUGGCUUGAUGUAUUUGAUAGAUUGAAACCUGCUGCCUUCCAAAUGUACAAUUGCUUGUCCCACUACAUGUUCCUUGUGUCUCUAAGCACUUGCCUGCUUAUCUUGCAGAAUGAAGUAGGGCCAUUUUAAAUUCUGAGUUUACCCAUUUUAACCUGGAUAGAAUGUGACGUUUUGUUGUAAUUAAGCGAGAAGAUGGUAUCGAGGAGAAAAGCAGCUAUAAAUAGACAAGAAUAAGAAAUCAUUUUAUCUUUAAAUAAAACAAAAUGAAAGCAUAAAUAAAAGAAACAAAUUUGUUUGUCUUGGUGGUAAAGCUCAGGCCUCUGUUUCUUUAAGACUGCUUGUCAAAAAUUAUAAAUUCAUGCAGUUUUUCUACUCUGAAACACUGGCAAGGUACAUUUUUAUUAUGACUUAUUUUACAAAUUCAAGACCAGAGCCUGCAAUAUGUACUCAGACGCAAUUAGUAAUCAAGGAAAGACAUCUCAUUUACGACUAGGAAAUUGUAGUGCUUAUUAUGUCCAUUUAGCAACUGUACACAGAAAAUCCCUGAUCAUUAGGACCUCUGACAAAAGCAGAGUAAAGAAUAAGAGUCAUAUUUCUUGAUUUCUAGUACCUUGUCAUCUCGGAGCUUUAUUGAUGCACCUUGCCCUCAAUAACAGUCAAAUACAGAAGUCUAGUCUUUACAGUACCAAAGAUUCAAAGCAUCAGUGGAAGUGGUAGUUAUUGGGGACUCCAGUUACCUAGCUAGAGGUGAGCAUGAGAGGAGACAUCUUCCAGCUUUACCAUGGAUGUGGAUGCGGCAUGUCAGUGGGAUUUCCACAGGUCAGAUCCACUCCAAAAGUUACUAGUUGUAUUUGUUUUUUGAACUAGUUGUGUUUGUUUUUUGGGGGCUGGGAUACCUUCCGUUUUUUGCCCAUGGCAUUUUCCUCUUCUCCAGGCUAUACUGGGCAUUUUUGAUGGAUAGCUGUCCUACUGUGUAUUUUAAGAUCCCAACUAGUCACUACAACUGUGGAUGUAAACAGAAAAACUUAGGACAUUUAGUUGUGUGGAGGUGUGAAAGCAGAGCACAAAUAGGCACUGUGUCCAGAGUAAGAAACGGCCCUCCAAAAACCUGCUAGUAUGUGGGGAAACAAGCUGAUCUGUGUAGAGAAAGAACAGUUAGUAGGAAUCUAUCUGAGAGACACAGUUAUCCCUAUUUUAAGUCUGAAUCUUCAGCUAACUGUAAAUCAGUAAGUAGGAAGUGGCUUUGCAUGUGUGAUUUAUGUGUAGAGAAAAUACCAUAGACGUGCCCAAAUUCUUUGUUCCUUUAAUUUCCAACUAUCUCAGGAAAACUUCAAGAAUUGUCAGCAUAACUGUAAAUCUUGGUGUGAGCAAAACUCACAUCAUUCCAUACGUCGAUUUUUCAGCUUCUUUAUUCAAGUGAAUGGUGAGCCCAGAAUAAUAAAAUAUGAUAUGAUCGGUGUCAGGAGCAGAAAGUGAACUGCUUAGCUCAGCCAAAAGGAUUAUUCAAUAAGAAUUUAAAUAACUGAACAGGCACGUAACCAUACCUGAAUUGCAGAGUGAGGUCAGCUGCUGAGAUUUGAGGCAUCACUUUUUUAUUGAUUUCAGAUAGGUGCUUAGGGCUCAUUAUGUAGCCAGUUAAAAGAAGGAGACACCAUGGUGUCAUAUUUCUUAUCCCUUAGAAAUGAAUUGCACAAGGAGAUAGUUUCAUACAGUUUCAUUUAAGAAAUUAUUAGCCGAAUCUGAAGCUAUUAGAAGUUUGUUCUGUUUGCUUCAGCAGAGUUCCGGUUUAUAUCAGCUGAGGAUAUGGUGCAUAUUUCCUUGUUUUCAGAAGGUUUCCCACAAAUCACUACAGAUACAUACUUGGGGAUACAUACUUGUGAAUGUGAACAAAGAUUUCUAACUUAGUGGUUUUUGAGGUAUCUUGUAUGUGGAAGGACUCUAAGGGCUCCCCAUCAAAUAUACGUAGGUGCAUAUUGACCAAAACACCCUGGAAAUUAUGGUGUUUAUAUCUUUGAUUUCAGAUUAGAACAUCCACUGAAAUUAGAAUGAGGCAUGUAAAAUUCUGAACAGAUCUUCUGCCAUCUGAUUCUGUGUCUGUUAGAAAAGUGAUUUUCCAGUGGAAGAAAAAAAAUGCCAUUUUAUUCAGGCUGCAGAAGCUAUUAAUCCUCCAAAAGGGCUAUUUGGAAACAGUAGCAGUCUGCUGGGUUCUUCCUUACUGCUUGUUUCAGCUGACCUGCACAGCACACUGGUACAGAUGCAUGUAUCCCUUACUCUUUUUAUGGAUGCAAGUGACACUGGCAAGUGUCAUUGCAGCAACGUCCAUCAAAAAUGUCACUCAAGAGAAACAUUUGCUAGAUCUGGCUGCCAGCAUGAGCCAAAUCAUCCCGCUGUGGGAUGUUUGUCCUUGCCUCUCCCUCUCUGAGACAAUCUUUUGGGAGCCAUAGAAGAGCUGAUAACUAGCAGUGAAUGACUUGCAGCAGAUGUCAAAUACUGUAAGACUGUUAAGUAUGGUAACUGUUAACUAAUAGCAGUUAACUUUUUACAAUGAGUUCUGAAACUCUAGAAAGUUUAUCUUUUUAUCCAUUAUCGAGGAGUCCUUACUCUAAUUUUAAGGGGGUGGACAGAGGACCUUGUGGGGACAGAGCAAGCUCAUCAGUGAGUAUAUAAUCUGAUUAAUAAACAUUCCGUACUUGCCCUUAGCCUGUAGUAUCCUGAGUUUAUUGCUAAUUAACCCUGUCACUUGUUUAUAUGAUGAUAUUUAACACAUAGUCAGGACCUUAUGACAGUAGGAAUCAGUAAGAGGCCUUCCUUUGGGUUCCCUGCAUACUGUUUGAUUCAUGCUUAUUGAGAGAGGUACAAGGCAACAUUAUGUCAGGUACAAUAAGUGAGAAAUGUAGGAGAUGGAGAGCAAAACACAGAAGAGAGAAAAGGAACAAGGACUUCUAAGACUGUUGUAACUUGCCUAAUCCUGUCGAGGUGAGUGUUUCAUGUACUGUAGCUGUGUUUUAACAUUUUUCUCCUACAGAUUACCACACUCUGUGUCUCGUCAAAUCUAUGCUGACAUUCAUAGUCUGAAAAAAUAGACCAUUGUGUGCUACAAGACUGACAAGAAAUAUGUCAAUAAAUAAAUCCAGGAAGUCAAAGCGUUCUUAACAUUUGCCUGCAUAGUCCGACUGAAGGGAACGUGCUAUGCAAAUCUAAGGCCCCAAUCCUGGUGCUGACAAUUAAUUAGCAGAUCACUGCAUCCAUGUCAACUUCCGUGGAGACAAAUAGUGCGCACUACCAACUGCUGGGUCCGGACCAAGCCAAGGGCAAGAUUUGACCCCUGAGCGGAUGAGCAGGAGCUUCCUAGAUGACCUUUCCAGCUGUCAGAGAGUGCCUCCCACCGAGUGCCUUUGAUCCUACGGAAAGGCACAAAGUGAUGCAUCACUGUUGAGGUAACUAAUUUUAGCAGCCGCAUCUGUUUAAUUGGGACUCUUAGCAGAGCAUGACUGCAGAGGGAGCCUGGAGGAAAGUAAGAGAUCACUCAACUAUGAAUUGCAAAUGUUUCAAAGCUUUGCUCUCCUCUGAAUAAAUCCUCCCAGGAACUGCGGAAGGAUUUGUGUUACUGCCGUUCCUGGCAGACCUCCCACACCUGGUUAGGAGGUUUCUUCCACUGCAAGACAAAAUAUUGAAUGACAUUGGGAUAGGAAGUUUAACAAAAAAAAAGUAUUUAAUGGAAGUAUACAAAAGAUCUAUUUAAUAGAUGGCAUUUGCUCUAACGAUACUAAAUACUUCGACCUAUACUUUCCAAAGCUGCUGAAGAGAUUUGGAUAUGCUAAGCUCAACUUAACAGUUGUUGGAGGUCCCUUAAAUAGUUCCUAAAAUCUCUUCAUAGUGUCCAGAACCUAAGCUGUCUUUGAAAAUCUCAGCCACAGAGUAGGUGGUAUAUCAGUUGUUCCCUGUUUAUGUCUCAUAUGACAAAGAACUGUGUCUAUCAUUAUUAUCUGUUAUCUUUUUAUCAGUCUUGGGUGCCACUGAUAUUUCUGAUAGAGCAGUUGGUGAGAGGCACUGCUGAAAAAGUAAUAGUACAUUUACUUGUAGUAUUUACAUGUAAUAUUAUGUGUAAAAUAUAAAAGGCAAAGCUGAUAUAGAAUUAUGUUAGGAAGUUGGCUCUGAAUUCACCAUCUUUCUCAUAUUAAAAAUUAACAUUAUUUCAUUACCGCACCAAAUGUACCUUUGUCUGUUUCCUUGUCCUUGAAGAAUAUGCUGCUGCUGCCUAAUCAAGAGCUGGAUAUAAACUAUUCCAUCAAUGUGUCUCUAUGUCUACUUUAUAAUACAAUAUUCGUUCUUACGUAUUUACUUAUGGAAGAUAUACUGCUUCUGCAUUUUGGGACGGAGUGUCAAAAGCUAAGAUGUGAACGUACAUCUGAUUUGGAUUAGAUUUACAGACUGUUAUGAAAAGCAAUAGAAGAAUAAAGAGGCAUUGCUUAUAACCUGGAGCAAUUUGAUUUCAAAUUUUGCAUCCAAAACCCAAAUUGUUAUUCUCUUCUGAAAAUAAGUAAAGGUUGGCAGCACUCACGGUUAUGUGCAAGUGACAGUAUUCUUUGUAGAAAGGGAUUUUUAUAGAA